AGGCAGAUCAACAUGCAAUUUGAAGACGUGUGAUAAAAUACAGAGAGGUGAAGUCGUGUGUCUUUCCAGAUGCCCAAAUCAUUCCCCCUUAAAAGAUGAGCCUGAAGAGGAGAUUUGGGAAGAUGCCGUUUCAUAAGUCGCUUUGCCAGAUCACCUGUGGUCGCGAUGUCUGCUAACAAGAUGCCUUGCUGGUCCGAGCGAGUUUAAAGUCUUACACAGACAGUGCAGAGGUUCUGAAGUCCAUCUUCAAUUUCAUUGAAAGACUGCAACAUGUGUAGCCUGCAGUAGAGGAAGCCACAGAGGUGCUUAAAAUGAUGUAAUGUGAUACAGCUCUUGACAUCUCUUUAUCUCCUUGUCAACAAUGUUAACAAUGUCAGUGUGUUUCCCACACAAACCCAUUACACAUUUAAUAGUGUUUUGGUCUUUUUGGGGUCUUGACUAACA